UACGGGGGGAGCAAGCGUUGUUCGGAUUUACUGGGCGUAAAGGGCGCGUAGGCGGCCACCGCAAGUCGGUUGUGAAAUCUCUGGGCUUAACCCAGAAAGGUCAACCGAUACUGCGGGGCUAGAGUGCAGAAGGGGCAACUGGAAUUCUCGGUGUAGCGGUGAAAUGCGUAGAUAUCGAGAGGAACACCUGCGGCGAAGGCGGCUGCCUGGGCCAGUUCUGACGCUGAGGCGCGAAAGCGUGGGGAGCAAACAGG
rnacentral:rRNA from 1 species